GUCAAGUGAGAAUACCCGCUGAACUUAAGCAUAUCAAUAAGCGGAGGAAAAGAAACUAACAAGGAUUCCCUCAGUAACGGCAAGUGAACCGGGAAAAGCUCAAAUUUAAAAUCGCUUGGGUUUACCUGAGUGGGUUGUAAUUUGAAGAAAGUGUUUCGACUUUUCGGGUUUGAUCCAAAUCCUUUGGGAUGAGGUAUCAUAGAGGGUGAGAAUCCCGUUCAUGAUUGAACCUGAGUUGUCAAUUGAUUCAUUUUCUAAGAGUCGAGUUGUUUGGGAUUGCAGCUCAAAAUGGGUGGUAAAUUUCACCUAGGGCUAAAUAUCUGCAAGAGACCGAUAGCGAACAAGUACCGUGAGGGAAAGAUGAAAAGAACUUUGAAAAGAGAGUUAAAAAGUACGUGAAAUUGUUGAAAGGGAAACGAUUGAAGUCAGUCAUGCUAGCGAGGAAGCAACUUGGUGGUGUGAGUCUCUCAUCUCCUCCGUGUGCACUUCCUCGUCUGGCAGGUUAGCAUCAAUUUUGAUUGUCAUCAAAUAAUUGGGGUAAUGUGGCUUCGCUUCGGUGGAGUGUUAUAAACCCUGGUGGAUGUGGCGAUUGGGAUUGAGGAUUGCAGCGGAUGCCUCUUGGGCUAGUCACCUGAUUCCUGGCUGUCACCUCGCUUUCGACAGCUUGCUGACGAUUGUGGGACUCGGCGGUCUAGAAGUUAGAGUGAUCUUAAAUUCGCUAAGGAUGCUGACGUAAUGGCUUUAAACGACCCGUCUUGAAACACGGACCAAGGAGUCUAACAUGUGUGCGAGUGUU
rnacentral:rRNA from 1 species